rnacentral:rRNA from 1 species
CUGCGGAAGGAUCAUUACCGAAUUGUCAAACGGGUUGUUGCUGGUCCUUGAAAGGGGACAUGUGCACGCUCUGUUUACACAUCCACUCACACCUGUGCACCCUCCGUAGUUCUAUGGUCUGGGAGACCUUGUCUUCCUGCCGUGGUUCUACGUCUUUACACACACACUGUAACAAAGUCUUAAGGAAUGUAUGCAGCGUCUAACGCAAUACAAUACAACUUUCAGCAACGGAUCUCUUGGCUCUCGCAUCGAUGAAGAACGCAGCGAAAUGCGAUAAGUAAUGUGAAUUGCAGAAUUCAGUGAAUCAUCGAAUCUUUGAACGCACCUUGCGCCCCUUGGCUAUUCCGAGGGGCAUGCCUGUUUGAGUAUCAUGAACACCUCAACUCUCAUGGUUCGCCGUGAUGAGCUUGGACUCUGGGGGAUUUGCUGGCCUGCGGUCAGCUCCCCUCAAAUGAAUCAGCCUCCCAGUGUUUGGUGGCAUCACGGGUGUGAUAAAUAUCUACGCUCGUGGUUGCCUGCCAGGUAACCUUUGGUGACAAAGGUUUGCUGGAGCUUACAGAUGUCUCUCCUCAGCGAGGACAGCUUUUUGGACGUUCGAUCUCAAAUCAGGUAGGACUACCCGCUGAACUUAAGCAUAUCAAUAAGCGGAGGAAAAGAAACUAACAAGGAUUCCCCUAGUAACUGCGAGUGAAGCGGGAGAGCUCAAAUUAAAAUCUGGCGUGCCUCUGGUCGUCCGAGUUGUAGUCUAGA